rnacentral:lncRNA from 1 species
GUCGUCUCCUCGGGACCACACUAGUCUGUAUCUGUCUGCGUACACAACCCUUUUCAUUUUGUUACGAACAUGCCUACAUUGAACGAGACGCACUAAGAUUUCUUUGGGCCUUUGACGUAAGGAGCGAGACACCACCAAGAUGAAAAUCUGCUUUGCAACCAUCCUUUCGAUCGCCAUCCUUUUGGGUAACUUUAUGAAGCUCCGAGCUGCCAUUUCUGGGCCGGUUCCCACAGACGGUGAUGGUCCUGGGUCUCGGGUAUGUCCAAUGUGCUGCCAGGGACCAGCUGGAACACCCGGCAUACCAGGCCUGCCGGGCAGCCCAGGAAUCCUCGCGGGGCCAAAGGGUGACACAGGUGAGCCGGGUCCUAAGGGUGAAGCAGGUGAGCCAAGUACAAAGGGUGAGGUUGGUUCAGUUGGCGCCGUCGGCGAGCGGGGAGCUCCUGGGACCCCUGGGCCGAAAGGGGACGACGGGAUAGGUCUGCCCGGUAAGAUUGGUCCGAGAGGUCCACCUGGUUUGGACGGCCCAGCCGGGGAAGCUGGUGUCAAAGGUCAAAAGGGAGAGCCCGGAGAGACUUUAAAUAACUCCAACCACCGGGUAGCAUUCACUGUGAGUAGGUCACAAGGAUUUAGUUCUUCGAGUGACCAAACCCGUUUGCCUUUCCAAGAGACCCAGGUGCUUCUGCCGGGCACCAGCUUCGAUCUAGCAACUGGUACAUUCACGUGCAAUUUUUCAGGAACCUACGUGUUCACAUUUUCUGUGUGCAAAGGUUCCGGUCGCCACCUUUACGUUCAUCUUACGAAAAACAACGACUGGGUUAUUUCCGGCACCAAUACUAAUUCGGAUCACGAGGCUCAGGUGUCUGGCAGCGCGGUAAUGAUUCUGCAGCGAGGAGACACAGUGUAUUUAACCAUGAAUGGCCGGGCGCACUCAAGUGCUUCCUGGAACCACAUCUCAUUCAGUGGGUUUCUCCUGUACGACCAAUAAACAGAUUAUUGUCACCCACAAAUGAAAUUUCUACAAAAGUACACAAAAUUGCACAAACAUCCUCCAGAUAAGCAAUUAUUCAUUUACGAGCUAUUGUCUUACUUCAAUUUAGCUGAUAAAAAUGAGCUUUUACGGUUUAUCCAGGACUCCCCUAAUAAGUCAGGUAACCUCGAUCCACCCCCAAUCUGGCUUUUAAAGGAAAACAUUGCACCUAUAUCCUCCCAGUUCCGACUUUCAUAGUAAUAUAGUACGUCUCUGGCCAAUGGCGUGUUCCCAAAAGGAGCUCGCCUGGCCAUCAUCAAACUUCUCUUGAAAAAAGGGCUGUGGAUAAAAAAUAUCCUCAGCAAUUACAGACCGCUUUCUAACCUGUCAUUUCUUGGAAAUAUCAUUGAGAAUAAUUGUCUUUUUCAGAUGAAUAGCCCACAUGGCAGCCCACGAACUGAUGGAUCUCCAUCAAUUAUAUACGGCACACCACUGCAGUACAGAGACUGCAGAAAAGUGAAAAAAUGACAUUAUGACUGACCUUGAUUUCAAUUGGGUUACCUUCCUCAUACUUUUAGAUCAUUCAACACCUUUCGACAAAAUAGACAGAGAUUAAGAUCUUGUCUCUCAUCUAAAAUUGGUGUUCAGGAUCUUGGAAGUUGGUCAACCACAUUAGAAAUACAUGGCGAGAAGUCUCAGCCUAUCCAAGUAAGUUGAAGACUGCCACAGGAUUUCUGUUUUGUUUUGUUUUGUUUUGUUUUGUUUUGUUCUGUUUUGGGGCCAUUUCGUUUUUCCAGUUACACACUUUCGAAACCCAUUUUGAUGGUGUGUCAUUAUCUUUGCUGUGCUGAUAACAUUCAGCUGUAUAUUUCGUUUGAUCCCAAAUCUCCGAAUAAGAGCAUCCGUGCCCUUGGAACUUUGAGUAAAUGCCUGGUUGAUAUUAAAUCUUAAUGAAUUGUAAAGAAGUGAAACUGAACGUAGAAAAAACUGAGUUUCUCAUAGGGCCUAAUAGGAUGACAUUCUAACCUUAACAGGCUUCCAAAAAAUGUACUUGAAGUGGGUCACGCAAUUGUGAAACCAUCAGUAUCGGCUAUGAAUCUUGGUGUACAUUUUCAUAUGCAGCGUUGUCCGGUUUCAUCUUCGCAAUGUUUCCAAAAUGAUAAAACUCAUCGAUCAAAAUACUUGCCAACACGAAUUCAGAAGUCUUAGCUAUCAAGGUUGGAUUAUUGGAACGGGCUUUUUCACAUCCAUUCCAAUAAGUUAUCUCACAAGACUCCAGAGCUUUCAGAACUGAGCAGCUCGUCUAAUCUACACAACAAACCGAGGGCAGGAUCCCAUCUCUUUGCUGCAUGCACUGCACUGACUACCCAUCUCCAAACGAAUUAACCUGUAAGUUAUUACUAACUGAUUUACGAAUCAUUUCAUAAUCAGUCACUAGAAUGAUGAUGCAGUCCUUUAUUAUGCCGAAUGUUCCUUUUAGACCAAACCUACCCUCCAACCCUAAUUUUUUCAGGUUGAUUUUCCCACGAACCCACAACAAAGCUGGCUACAGAACACUCACUGUCUGCCCUUUCACAUUCAUUGGAGCAAUUUCAGAAAAUGAUUGAAACCUGCCUGUUUCACCAAUAAUAAUAAUAAUAAUAAUAUAAUACUUCCAUUGUCAAUUUUAUUAGACCAUUUAAUUAAGUUCAUGAAAUUGUUCGACUGUUUAUUUUUUGUAAGCGAUGUGAUUUAGUUACUACAGAGAGCGUUUUAAAUACUGGUUAUUGUUAUCAUUAUCAAGGCGUUUUGCUUAAAAUCUCAUCAUGGUGAUUUGUAGUUCAGGAUCCCUCAACUUCUUUGAUCCUUUGGCAAAAAGGAUUUUAGGGCACAAAAACUAUUUUGCUGGCUUAAGCAACCUCCUGCUAGUCUAAUAACUCGAGUCUAAGUGCUUUUAAGUUGUAUUUUUACCUAUGAAUUAACAAAGUUUAGAUAGAUUCUGUGACAAUUGAUUGCUUGAUUGGUCCGCGCGUAAUCCUUCAGCUAUGAGCUGCAUAAACGCUCAUGUUAAUGAUUACCAGGUUAUAUCAUUUAUAUUUUACACUAAAUGUAUGUAAUGUGCCAUUUAAUGUCAUAUUUAUGUUCUUUUCCUCCAAAAUGUAACUACAUUGAUUUGGGUUUUGGAAAACCAACGAUGAGAUAAUCUCUGGCCAUAGCAACGAUUCCUGUCAUAACAGAAAGAUGUCUGGGAGCGCAGUGCUGGUUUUACGGGGGGGGGGGUCCGUGUAUUUAACCAUGUGCGGUAAAGCGCUGUGUUUUUCAACCUGUCAUCUCAUUCGGUAUAGCUUUCCCCUUUACGCCGAAUAAACGGAUUCGUAAAAUGCAUAAGUUAUAAAAAAGGGUGAAAUUGUAUUACGCGAUUGGUUGAAAAAAUAAAUAAAUCUCUUCAAGCUGCAGAAUCGUUGCCGCAGAAUACACAGCUGCUGAAGUAAUUAUUGUUGCAGAAGCUGUGUAGUUGAUUCGUUAAAAAUGACAUCGAUUGGAAACGCUUCUGCGGCCUGGAGGUAUUUUUCAAUCAAUCUAAUGACACAAUACAUUCCAUUUUAUUGUCCCUUUAAUAUAGACUGUAGGGCAUGCGGCUCUAUCUCGUCGUUUUAUUCUCUCCAUCCGGGGGACUUUUCACGACAAUAUAGUAAUAAAUAUUGCUAAUCAUAAUUUGAUUAGUCCCAAGUGCAAGGCUGCACAGGUUUGUGUAAUUGUAUAACAAUAUUUAUGCAUGCAUUAAUAGAAUGUGUAAGUUCAGUUUUUGACUCACACUCGAGGUGUUGGCCUUUUAUAUACAAUAGAUACAAGGUGAAAUUCACCUUGCUUUGCCUCUUUAUUAUGCUAUAGCAAACAAGUUGUAAGGUUCCAAAAAUUAGUUACUUAUAAUCUACAACUUCCCAAACUUAAAAGUAUUAACCUGUAUUUUUUUAAUUAACAAUGAAUCGCUUCUAUCAAGUAAAGCUUGUAUACAAUAGAAGUUUAAAAUGCGCUCUUGCUAAAAAAAAGUAGCUCAGUGCUUCGAUUUGUUUAUACGUUUUCAUCUUCAAAUGCAACAUAAUGUAUCUUACUGUGCAUGAUAAACUUGGAUAUAUUGUAGUGGAAAGCCUACUCUAAUGUGACAUUUUAAAUAUAUAUAUAUGUUAAACUGAACUUUCUCGCAAAACGCAUUACUGUCAGAAAAUAACCCACUUUUCAUCGCAAAAUGGCUCGCAUUGAAAUCUUAGUUAAUAAUAAACCACUAUUGACG